rfam:Felis catus isolate Cinnamon breed Abyssinian chromosome A1, whole genome shotgun sequence.
GCCUGGGUGGCUCAGUUGGUUGAGCAUCCGACUUCAGCUCAGGUCACGAUCUCACACUCCGUGGGUUCAGGCCCCACGUCAGGCU